ACGAACGCUGGCGGCACGCUUAACACAUGCAAGUCGAACGAGAGAAGAGGAGCUUGCUUUUCUGAUCUAGUGGCGGACGGGUGAGUAACACGUGAGCAAUCUGCCUUUCAGAGGGGGAUACCGAUUGGAAACGAUCGUUAAUACCGCAUAACAUAAUUGAACCGCAUGAUUUGAUUAUCAAAGAUUUAUCGCUGAAAGAUGAGCUCGCGUCUGAUUAGCUAGUUGGUAAGGUAACGGCUUACCAAGGCGACGAUCAGUAGCCGGACUGAGAGGUUGAUCGGCCACAUUGGGACUGAGACACGGCCCAGACUCCUACGGGAGGCAGCAGUGGGGAAUAUUGCACAAUGGAGGAAACUCUGAUGCAGCGAUGCCGCGUGAGGGAAGAAGGUUUUAGGAUUGUAAACCUCUGUCUUCAGGGACGAAAAAAGACGGUACCUGAGGAGGAAGCUCCGGCUAACUACGUGCCAGCAGCCGCGGUAAUACGUAGGGAGCGAGCGUUGUCCGGAAUUACUGGGUGUAAAGGGAGCGUAGGCGGGAUCGCAAGUCAGAUGUGAAAACUAUGGGCUUAACCCAUAAACUGCAUUUGAAACUGUGGUUCUUGAGUGAAGUAGAGGUAAGCGGAAUUCCUGGUGUAGCGGUGAAAUGCGUAGAUAUUAGGAGGAACAUCAGUGGCGAAGGCGGCUUACUGGGCUUUAACUGACGCUGAGGCUCGAAAGCGUGGGGAGCAAACAGGAUUAGAUACCCUGGUAGUCCACGCCGUAAACGAUGAUUACUAGGUGUGGGGGGACUGACCCCUUCCGUGCCGCAGCAAACGCAAUAAGUAAUCCACCUGGGGAGUACGACCGCAAGGUUGAAACUCAAAGGAAUUGACGGGGGCCCGCACAAGCAGUGGAGUAUGUGGAUUAAUUCGAAGCAACGCGAAGAACCUUACCAGGUCUUGACAUCGUAUGCAUAGCUCAGAGAUGAGUGAAAUCUCUUCGGAGACAUAUAGACAGGUGGUGCAUGGUUGUCGUCAGCUCGUGUCGUGAGAUGUUGGGUUAAGUCCCGCAACGAGCGCAACCCUUACUGUUAGUUGCUACGCAAGAGCACUCUAGCAGGACUGCCGUUGACAAAACGGAGGAAGGUGGGGAUGACGUCAAAUCAUCAUGCCCCUUAUGACCUGGGCCUCACACGUACUACAAUGGCUGUCAACAGAGGGAUGCAAAGCCGCGAGGUGGAGCGAACCCCUAAAAGCAGUCUUAGUUCGGAUUGUAGGCUGCAACCCGCCUACAUGAAGUCGGAAUUGCUAGUAAUCGCAGAUCAGCAUGCUGCGGUGAAUACGUUCCCGGGCCUUGUACACACCGCCCGUCACGCCAUGGGAGUCGGUAACACCCGAAGCCUGUAGUCUAACCGCAAGGAGGACGCAGUCGAAGGUGGGAUUGAUGACUGGGGUG
rnacentral:rRNA from 1 species